GCUAUUUUCCGGUAAUUAGACAAACUUCAUUAAUGGACCCAAAGAUCCUUGUACAAAAAAACUAUCAUUAUUAUUACUGAUCAGUAAAAUUAAUAUCCCCUCGGUGAAAAACCGUAAUACGCCCCUCGUUUUUUCACAUAUACAAGCUAAAACUACAACAAGUGGGAACUUAUCCUGUUGAGAAUCCUAUCUUGCGAAAAGCGCAAAUCACUCGAGCCUCUUUCUCUAGAAGUGCCAUCUAUGGGAU
rnacentral:sRNA from 1 species